rnacentral:misc_RNA from 1 species
GCAAUUUUUGGCAUUGCAGGUAAUGAUCUCUUCACCAAUUGAAUAAAAUCCUCUUCUGUAGCAUGAAAUGCCCUCUUUAUAACAUCAGACGACAAACCCCCUUGCUCUUUCGAAAACUUAUGCAAAUACGAAAAGAGGUGUCUGUUGACAAAACGGGAGGCUUCAGGUCCACCAUGUCCAUCAUAAACACCAACAUAGGUA